AUCAACCUUUUCUAUGAAAGCACUUCUAAGUCAAAUUUUUAUUUAUGCCAUUUGUCGCGAUUUUCGAUCAAGAAUAUAUAUACUUUAUGGGGUCGGAGAUGCUUCCUUCUGCCUGUUACAUACAUUUGCACAAAAACAAUAUACCCGUUUACCCAUUUUCAACGAUCGCAACGUGUUUGACGGCUAGCAAUUCAGUUGCAAUUUGGCUGUCUUCAGAAGCAGUCGGUGUCUCAGUCAGCGAUCUUUCCAGUUAAUAAUCUGACAAAUGGACAACAUGAUGACAUUCAAGGAUAACAAGGCCCUAGUCAUAGGCGUCAACAUAAUUGUGCUGUCCUUUUUUUUCAUUGUUGUCUUUCUGAUUACUCGCGCUUAGUAUAUCAAUGAUCGCCAUCAGUAUAUAUAUCAUAUAUACAUAUGUAUAUAUAUAUAUCUGUUUAUGGAAACAUACUUAUCAAGUGGAGCGAUCUUUUGCCUGCAAAAUUGCAGCAUUAAUCACCUCAAUGUAAUCGAAUAACAAUAAUAAAAUGUUUAAUUGACUCAA